GACAGCAAUGGGUUUGAGAAAACUGGUUCCCUUAAGGUUGGUUUGGGUAUUUGCCUUUGUAGUCUGUGUUUUAGCUCCCACCAUAGAAAGCCAAAUCCAAGGCUGCUCUAUUCAGGGAUUUGACAUGGGUCUGUGUUUGAAUCAAAGAAAUAGAUCCUUUUCUAAUGAUAGUACAUGCUGCAAAGUGCUUAAUAAAGCUGCACAAACUGGGUAUAAUUGUUUGUGCUUGUUGGUAGCAUCAUCUCUUCCUCUCUUAAGCUCCCCAGUUUCAUUGCCCUUGUCAAACUGUUCUAUAUCUGUGCCUCCUUUGACUCUUUGCAAAGUUCUAGCGCCACUACCAAUUGUGUUUCCACCAAAUGGUCCAAAUGAACCCACACAACCUUCUCUGCCUCCCAAUGGUGUGCCUGUGUCUCUUCCAUAUGGGAUACAAGUUCCCUUAAAAUCAACCGGGAACAAUAACUUUGCAGCAACACAACCUUCAAGUGCAAUUGCUGAUGUUCUCGUGUCUCCUCCACAGGAGAUUCCGGCUUCUUCAAACACUGCAAGUGCAGCAAUACAGCCACAUUCAACUUCAAGCGAAAAUGCUUCUCCAAAAUCAACUCUUUAUAAGGAGAAUGAGACAUCAAAAGGGAGAGACAAGGCCAAGAUAAUGUUGUUCCACAGUUUGUUGAUCUUCUCAUUGGCUUUCCAUUGCUGUGUUAUUUUAGCUUAAUGACUUGCUUAACAUUCUCAUUAGCCUUAGAUUAGAUGUGAAAUCAGAAUGUACCCAGACUUGCUAAUAUACUUUUUUUUCAUUAUUUUUUAAGAACAACAACAUAUGCUAGGAAUUUCUCAUGGCUUCUCUUGUCUGCGACUCUUAUCGUCUUCUAUUAAUUAGAAAACAAGAACACAAUAACACAGCAGCAAGCAGAGGAGGAAGCAACAAAAAUUAUUUCAAGUGCUUCAGCAGAAUUUGCCCACAUCAUCGGUCCAGUUAUCGUGGCGCCCCCUUCAGCAAGUUUGCCAGCUGAUAAUGCAGAAACUUCACCCACGCCGUUGAGUCUGACACGGACGGAACCUUUUGUCGAAUCUGCAGCAGCACCGAAACCACUGCUCAAACCAACCAGCCGUUCAUUUGCAUUGAAACACAUUAGCGACAGCAAAAGUUAAUUUCUUCCUGAAGAAGGAACUUCCCUUGUUAUCUUUUUCUUUUCUUUUUUCUGAAUGAGUCCUAUUAUCUUCACUCAUCUGUAAUUCAGCCACGCAUGUGAUUUCUACUCAAUGGUCUAUUGCUUUCUAAUGGCAAAUUUGUCAGUGUAAUCUCAGAUGUUUUCAAGCAGCUAUUGCAAAUAAAAACAAAUAUUUUUCUA